GUCACAAUAAUGUAUUUUUCUUGAUCAUGACUUGUCAAAUGAAGCAUUGAAGAGUCUAUCUUGCUGCUUUUUUUGCCUCCCCUUUCUUUUUUCUUUAUCAAGAAAUUAAAUCAUUGCUAUCAGGGUUAGUACAUGUUGCUCCAUGGAUGGUGGAUAGAUAUCGGUGAAAGUCCGAAAGCUCGCCCGAACACAACGCCCCAAUGGACCUUGGUGCUUUUGUGUGUUUCUCCUUUGGCAAUACUGAUUUGAAUGUGGAGGAUAUGUACUGGCACGGAAGAAGAUGGAGUAGAGGCUUCCAAAAGAUUUUGCAGCCAAGAGAAAGUAAGACCAUUAAACCUUUACAUUUUAUUCUUACAUAUGAGUAUUAUGAAUAGACAAACUCAAUCAUAGCUGAUUAUCCUCCUAUCAAAACUUGGAAUUUAGGGAGGCAACAUAUGUUGUUGUUAAGAAACAAAAUGUCAUGAAUGAACUUUGAGAUUGUAGUAAGGUGAACAAUUUGAAGGAUAAUAAGGUAAAGAACAACCUUUCUCCAACAACAGUAACAUACCCAAUGUGAAGGUAGGGUGGGGUGGGGUUUACCACGACCUUACUCCUACCUUGUGAAGGUAGACACUAGACAGGUUGUUAACGACCUUCCUCUCCCCAACUCCCUAAAGAAGCAGAAAAGUGAUGGAAAUACAAGUGUAUGGAAAAGAUAAUCUGUAGCUGAGAAUUAGUGGUAACUUAAUUGUAGAAUUGUUCAAAAUGUUGUAGAGGUGUAAGGUUUUAUAUUUAUCAAACCCCUUCCAUGCUCCGGUCUAAUCAACCACCAAGGACAAGAUGAUGAAGCUUAGCUCUACAACUUCGACGUUUGCAGACUUGGUAAGUUUAUUUAGCUAUGGACUGGCAACUGUCUUGUGACUGAAUGACUCGUCACAGCUGAAUGAUUGUAAAAAUUGGCUCCUUUUCAUUCUUAACCCCGGCUUGUUCUCAGAUUCUAAAAGUGGCAAGUGAUGAUCCAUCCCAGCAUUUGCAAGACGGUUUGCUCCAUUUUUAAAUUCAGGAAGGGCAUGGAACACGUCGAUUCUGAAAACUGAAUCUCUUUCCCAAUUGAUAUUAGGAAAUGCUGAUGGUUCCUUUGCACGUUUAAAUUUGUUAGAGGUCGAUGAAGUCCUUGGUUGGGCGAAGGUCACUGUGUGAUGUAACUGCACACAAAACAUGAUUUAGACGCUUCAAUUCAUCUUUAUUUCAUGUCUGCUUUUGUGUAUGCUGGUUGUAUAUGGGAGAUUUUCCCAUUUACAAAUGAAAUCAUUUACCUUAUCAAAAAGUUCAUCUUUCUCUU